rnacentral:rRNA from 1 species
UAGGGAAUCUUCGGCAAUGGACGAAAGUCUGACCGAGNAACGCCGCGUGAGUGAAGAAGGUUUUCGGAUCGUAAAACUCUGUUGGUAGAGAAGAACGUUGGUGAGAGUGGAAAGCUCAUCAAGUGACGGUAACUACCCAGAAAGGGACGGCUAACUACGUGCCAG